GCCGACUUAGCUCAGCGGUAGAGCAGCUGUUUUGUAAACAGCAGGUCAUCGGUUCAAAUCCGAUAGUCGGCU
rnacentral:tRNA from 2 species